rnacentral:rRNA from 1 species
GACGAACGCUGGCGGCGUGCCUAAUACAUGCAAGUAGAACGCACAGUUUAUACCGUAGCUUGCUACACCAUAGACUGUGAGUUGCGAACGGGUGAGUAACGCGUAGGUAACCUGCCUGGUAGCGGGGGAUAACUAUUGGAAACGAUAGCUAAUACCGCAUAAUAUUAAUUAUUGCAUGAUAAUUAAUUGAAAGGUGCAAUUGCACCACUACCAGAUGGACCUGCGUUGUAUUAGCUAGUAGGUGAGGUAACGGCUCACCUAGGCGACGAUACAUAGCCGACCUGAGAGGGUGAUCGGCCACACUGGGACUGAGACACGGCCCAGACUCCUACGGGAGGCAGCAGUGGGGAAUCUUCGGCAAUGGACGAAAGUCUGACCGAGCAACGCCGCGUGAGUGAAGAAGGUUUUCGGAUCGUAAAGCUCUGUUGUAAGAGAAGAACGGGUGUGAGAGUGGAAAGUUCACACUGUGACGGUAUCUUACCAGAAAGGGACGGCUAACUACGU